UGUCCAGUAGCACCUUAGGGACCAACUAAGUUUGUUCUUGGUAUAAGCUUUUGUGUGCAUGAAGAAGUGUGCAUGCACACAAAAGCUUAGUUGGUCUCUAAGGUGCUACUGGACA